GUCAAAUAUUUUUAACUAUAAAUGUAUGUAAAUUUUGAUUUCAUAUUCAAAAAGUUAGCUCUGAUAUCAUAAAAGCUUUGCAAAAAGAAUAUUAAAUAAGAUAAAGCUAUAAAUAUUAUAAAUUAUUUAGAAUGCUAUAUCAAUGAACAAAAAUAAUCCAAUUGUGAAAUUUCUUAUGAAGUCUCUUCAAAAUUUAUCAUUUAAAAAUGAAUUUUUGUCAGUGCUGUAUUUUUUUCUAAUAAUCAAUUCAGUAAUAAUUUUGAAAUUAGGAAAAUGGCAGUUAUGAGAUUCAAAACCUUUCCAGAUGAAAUGAUGAAGGCAAUUUUAGCAUUUAACCAGCCACAUCAUAGUAAGCUUAUAAUGCUAAUUCAUUGUGUUUCAUGUGCAGAUGAAAUCUCUAUUCACUUAAACUUGCACAGCCAGCUCAUGAUAUGUAUUUGGCCAAGUGUUGAACUUCAUUACAUUUAAGACAGAUGUCUUAACAAUUCUGUCAUACAUUACUAAGCAUAUAUUUUGUCUUUUGCUCUUAAUGUAAUAAAUAAUUAGAUCAAUCAAAAAUAGGUUUGAAAUAGUUUGAUUAGCUUAUAAUAAAACAAGAAGUAUGCUAUAUGCAAUUUUUAUUAUUGCAGUUGUUCUCUCUGCUUCUUAUUAGUUUUCUUCUAUUUUAGAUAAAUUUGUAUCUUUGGAAUUUCACAUUAUAUCUGCAGUUACCAUCUAUCCAAAAUCAUUAAGUAGCUGACAUUUCAUAUUUUAACAAAUGUCACUAAUAUAUCUAAUAAUUAACAAGCCAUAAAAUUUUAAAGCGAAAAAUAUAUAAACAGCACAAAGCAGAAAAUAUCCAAUUUGGAGAAAGAGCUUAUGCCGCCAUCAUUAAAUAUAUGAUUAAGUUUUAUUUUGAGUAAAAUACAGUAAAAUCUUACAGUUAAGCAGAUAAAAUAUUUAUUAGUAUCCGUUAUCGGAUAUGUGCAUAAGUAAUAAUACUUCAUAAAUUCUCAGUUCGAUUUAAAAUCGAUAAAGAAUAUGCAAAGAAAAUAAAUGUGUUAGUUUUCCCGCUAAGUAUACUUUAAUGUUAAUUUUUCAGGUCUGAAUAUUGAAAGGUGUCGACUUACUAUUAAUUCUUUAUCAAAGGACUUCAUUUAUUAUUCAUUUCGAUAAAAAUUUAUUAUUAAUGCAAACUGCCAUUCAACUAUAAGCCAAAUUUCUCAUUUGAACAGAAGAUGAAACAAACUAAUUUUAUUGCAUGCAAAUUUUCCUCAAUAAAUAUGUUUUUGUAACCCGUUUAUGUUCGUAAAUCAAAUAUUUGUCAGUAGGCCUAUUUGUCAGUGCUGUUGUUAUCGGGUAUUGAUUUAUUCGCCAUCUAUUCGUGUAAAUAAACCCCCAAAAUAUUUUGUUAAUUCUUCGCAUAAUCCAUUUUUAUAUGAUACUGUAGCCAUCUUGGCCAAAUAUAGAGAUAACAAAUUACCAAGCAUACUUUUUAAUUUGCUGAAAAAAGU
rnacentral:lncRNA from 1 species